rnacentral:rRNA from 1 species
GACGAACCGUGCUAACGUUGUUCGGAAUCACUGGGCUUAAAGGGCGCGUAGGCGGUUUGCCAAGUCAGGGGUGAAAUCUUUCGGCCCAACCGGAAAAGGGCCUUUGAUACUGGCAAACUAGAGCGAGGUAGGGGCAGAUGGAACUUCCGGUGGAGCGGUGAAAUGUGUUGAUAUCGGAAGGAACGCCGGUGGCGAAAGCGAUCUGCUGGACCUCUUCUGACGCUGAGGCGCGAAAGCCAGGGGAGCAAACGGG